rnacentral:tRNA from 1 species
GGAGAGCUGGCUCAGUGGUUAAGAGCACUGACUGCUCUUCCAGAGGUCCUGAGUUCAAUUCCCAGCAUCCACA